GCUGUCUUCCCCAGAGAUGGGUUCACUUCCAUUAUAUCUAAUCCUGACAGUAGCCCUACAACAACAAAUGUCAAUAAGAGACCUUCUCUGUAAGACAGACCUCCGAGGACUGGUGUGCCAGUAGCUGGUGUGAAAGAUGGGUCCAGUCCAUCAACAUCGAAGCUCAGAUGAAUUGGCCUUUUCUUUCUUUUAAGAGGUACCUUGGUCAGCAACGAAGAAUGGCUCAUCAAGAUUGGUUUACUCUUGAUUUUAUUAAAGAAUAUCAACACCGACUUUUAGAUUGAUCUUAAAAUAUCUGGCUGGAAAUUUCUUCAAUCAAUGAUAUUUUAUACCUGCAUCUAUUAAUAAAUGAUCAAGGUUUGAACCAACAUAUAAGAGACAUCCUUGGGUGCAGUUUCGAUUCACUACAGACCCAUCUCCUUGGGUUGCUUUUUAGUAUCAUAAAAUUCAUCUUUUGGAAAGACUAGGAGAAGCAGUCUGUGAAGUCUAUAUCCAUAUUUGCUGUGAGGAUGUUAUUGAGGUCAUCAUGUACCAUAUUUUUAAGUGUUCCUUACAUGCAGUCCUCUCGGUAUUUUCUUUCAGAACAGAGUGCUAGCAAACCUUUUCUUAGCCUGAGAAACUCUAAGUAUUCUUCUUUUGGACAAUGAAUACUAUACAACUGACUUUUGGGGGGGGGCGUUAUGUUUUCUAGGACGCUCAAAGCCAAAUUUGUGUCCCAUCUGUAGCUAAUUAUGUUGGAUAGUAUUAUGUGAAUGUGUGUGUGUGUGUGUGUGUGUGUACUUCGCUUUCAUUUUACCUGAUCUUGAUUUUUAAUUUAUUUUUGACUAUUAUAUUUUAUGUGUUGCCUAAAAGCACCCUCAAAUUCUUCCUACUCUCAAAGCAUUGCAAAAAAUAAGUAAGCAAUUAAAUAGCAAAUUUAAAAUGUUUUCUACGGCUGUGUCACCCUGAAUGUGCCUGAUCUUGUCUUAUCUCAAAAGCUAAGCAGGGUUAGUACUUGGAUGGGAGACCACCUAGGAAGGCCAGGUUCUACAGGCGUUAAAAAAUACAUAAAAAUAAAAUGUUUUGAUAUCCUCCUUUUUCUUGAAAUGCCAUAGGCUGAUUUAUUUGUAUCUGUUGAAAAAAGAGAUUCUAAAUCAGUUCCUCAGUUUUCAAAUAGAAACAGAGGAACAGCCACAAAGCACCAAAAGUAUAAAAAUGCAGACUUUAUUAAGAAUAAGUGGUUUCUCAAUUGGGUGGACCUAGUCACUGUUCCUUUCUCAGAUUUGGGAAUAUCCACUGCUUUCCAUUCUCACUGGAAGUCUAGCUUCUGAGCAUAGUACCUCUAGAGUUUCAAAAAUUUUGCCAACAAAACAGUUGGAAGCAAGGCUGUGAGUGGUAUUUACUGCGUAACGUCCAGGAACUUGGUUGCCAAAUUCUAUUGCAAGUGAACAUCCCGGAGGGUUUGUACUAUUGGCAGGAACUUCUAUUGUUUUCAAGGAUUUCAGACAAUUGUAUGCAUGUUCAAGGUCUGAUGCUUUCCAUAUUGACAGAAAAAAGUCACGCUUGUGUAGUUUUAGUAUCAGUUGAAUUCAUAAUGGUGUUAUAAGCAAGUAAAGUUACUUUUCCUAGAGAAGGCUUAGAGAAAAUUAUGUUUAAAAUAUUUAUAGGACAAAUGCCCAUAAACAUACUUUCUGGUUGAUUAAAAAAAAAAGAAGAAGAAUUCAAGAUUGCAAUGGGAAAAGAAAGUGAGCAAAUGGUGACCUCUUCAUUCAUUACAAUCUGAAGAAUUAUCUCCUACUCAUUCAUUCAUUCAUCAUUCAUUCAACAAAUAUUUAUGAGAACAUACUUUGUAUCAGGCAACUUCUCUCUAUUUCUAGCAUGAAAGUAAUGGAUAUAUACAAACUAAUAUAAGACAAAACUCCUAAGGAAAGUGUUAGUCAUCUGUGUGGUUUUCUAUAAAACAGACAUACUUUCAUGUAAGUUUUACAUCCAAGCAUGAAUAUCUCUAAUGAGAUUGGAGAUAUUUAUCAUUUCAGUUAGGCAACUCCCAGUUAUUCAGUGGAUGUUUUGUCAGUUUCCUCAAAAUUUUUCUUUUUCUUCCUGAU